AGCAGUAGCCACGGGAAUACAGAGGGUGCAAGCGUUAAUCGGAAUUACUGGGCGUAAAGCGUGCGCAGGCGGUUUGUUAAGACAGAUGUGAAAUCCCCGGGCUCAACCUGGGAACUGCAUUGGUGACUGCAACGCUGGAGUGCGGCAGAGGGGGAUGGAAUUCCGCGUGUAGCAGUGAAAUGCGUAGAUAUGCGGAGGAACACCGAUGGCGAAGGCAAUCCCCUGGGCCUGCACUGACGCUCAUGCACGAAAGCGUGGGGAGCAAACAGGAUUAGAUACCCCCGUAGUCCCUGUCUCUUAUAC
rnacentral:rRNA from 1 species